AGGUCCCUUUCCCCUACGCUGCUCUCUAAUAGGUCAUUCCCCAACUUACACUGAACCUGGGGUUGUUCUGCCCAGAUUCAAGACUCUACACUUGCCCUUGUUCUAUUUCAUUACAUUUUCCCGCCCAACUCUCCAGCCUGUCCAGGUCUCUGAUGGCAGCACAGCCUCUGGCGUGUCACCACUCCUCCCAGCUUGGUGUCACCAGCAAACUUGCUGACAGUCACUCUAUUCCCUCGGCCAAAUCACUGAUGAAUAUCUUGAACAAUCCCGGCCCCAGCACUGCCCCUGAGGCACUGCACUAGAUCCAGGCCUCAACUGGACUCUGCCCAUUGACCACGACUCUCUGGCUUCUUCCCUUCAGCCAGGUCACACUCCACCUCACUCCCCGCUCAUCCAGACCGCACUCCCUCAGUUCAGCGGUGAGGAUGCUGUGGGACACUGUGUCAAAUGUCUCACUCAGCAGCUUGCUUCUGUUUAAAAAUAUUAAAAUACAUUUUAAAAGCCACGAGGCUUCUGGCCAGUUUUCCAAAGGGCAUCACCACGGUUCCCCCAGCAUUAACCAAUACCUGCGCCCUGGCCAACUCCUGCGAUGAACUGACCAAUCUAAUCUGCUUUUUAGGGUUCGAGUGAAGCGCUGGAGGUUCACUUUUGAAAUGCAAAACCCAGGGAUCACAUCAGGACAGAGUCGUUGUCAGGAGCCCCAGCAGAGCCAGACUGGCACGAGCUUCUCUCCGACCGUCGGAUUUUGAUUACAGCCAAAGCUAAUAUCAGCGUUUAGAAUCUUUAAGAGCGAGGGUUGUAGAGUGGGAACCCCCAUCUCCGAGGGCUGCACCCCUCGUUUUGAGGAGGAGGCCACCACGGGUUGUCCUUGGCACAGAGACUCCUGCUGAUCAACCUGAACCCUGCUGAGCAACCCCAUCACAUUAUUCCAGUUAAGUGCAUUUUUACUGAUAUUAAGGGUUAAAUGUGUUGCGUGGUGGCUUUUCGGCGCUCUCUUGGUCUUCGUUGGCGUGUCCCAAUCAAGGGCUGUUCUCAUCCUUGCUCAGCAAGAAGAGGAAAAGGCAACUUGAAAGGACACUGACUUGUGCAAGGGAAGGAUUAAAACAUCAGGUGAUUACCAAAACCAAAUAUCCCGACACAACUGGAGAAAGACAAAGCUCCUCCUUGUUUCCCCCCAUUAUUCACAAUAACUUCUAUUUGGCUAAAAUACUCUUGAGAAAAGUGCUGUCUGGAGCUGGAGAGAUCAAGAAAUGCAGAUUUAUCGUGUCCCAUGAUGGUUGUUCCAUGUGGUUAAUCAAACACUCUGCAAAAAGGCACUUGAUUCUUAAUUUGCAGUUGUCUGGCUUUGGCUUUUGGGUGUCCAUUAGUACCUAUUUACUUCUUUGGUUUUCCCAAUCCAGAGAUAUGGAGUUGCAUUAAUUUUUGUCCUUCCUUUUGGUGCAGAGACCCGAAAAUAUUCCUUCUACCUUUAACUAUAUCUUUUUUCCAUCGCUGCCAGCUCUUUCAGCAUCGUUGCACCUGCAUCCUCAUCGUGAUAUCGUCGCAUCCUCAUCUUUUCCAUCUGAAACCUUCCAGGACGCAUUUUCCCACCGUGUAGGUAGCAACUCCCACUGCAACUUUCCACACAGCUCAGGGAAAAUAGGAUUUGUCUGAAUGUGUUUGGCUGGUUGAGAGAUUUCCAUCAUCCCGUGCCCAUCUGCCCUGCCCUCAAUGAUAACUCCCAUCCUGCCAACACUAAUAUCACCCGCAGAUUUUAUCAGCGGUGUCGCGUGGGCGUAUUUCAGGAUCUUUGAUUAAAGAGGUCGAUUAACUUUGCAAUAUUUCCCACCUAAAGAGAGAGAACAAAAUCAGAGUUGAUUCCAAAUUCUUGAGAUUCCAAAGCCCUGAGGAUGUUUCUUUAAAAGGAGCGAAGAUGCUGCAUGAAGAAAGUUGCUCCACUCCCUUCAGCAUCUUGGUGGCUGCACUGGACUCUCUCCAGCAGUUCCCUGUCCUGCUGGAACUGAGGGGCCACAACUGGACACAAGAUUCCAGGUGUGGUCUCCCCAGGGCAGAGCAGAGGGGCAGGAGAACCUCUCGGACCUACUGACCACCCCCUUCUAACCCACCCCAGGUACCAUUGGCUUCCUGGCCACAAGGGCCCAGUGCUGGCUCAUGGUCACCCUGCUGUCCCCAGGACCCCCAGGUCCCUUUUCACUGCUCUCCAACAGGUCAUUCCCCGACUGAUACUGGAACCUGGGGUUGUUCCUGCCCAGAUUCAAGACUCUACAUUUGCCCUUGUUCUAUUUCAUUACAUUUUCCCGCCCAACUCUCCAGCCUGUCCAGGUCUCUGAUGGCAGCACAGCCUCUGGCGUGUCACCACUCCUCCCAGCUUGGUGUCACCAGCAAACUUGCUGACAGUCACUCUAUUCCCUCGGCCAAAUCACUGAUGAAUAUCUUGAACAAUCCCGGCCCCAGCACUGCCCCUGAGGCACUGCACUAGAUCCAGGCCUCAACUGGACUCUGCCCAUUGACCACGACUCUCUGGCUUCUUCCCUUCAGCCAGGUCACACUCCACCUCACUCCCCGCUCAUCCAGACCGCACUCCCUCAGUUUAGCGAUGAGGUAUAUUCAAGGUAUAGCAACAGGUAUAUUCUCUCCCAUCGUGGUACCUAUGGGGUAGACGUAGCCGGGGAUGAGGAUGUUUUGCUUGUGAUGUUUCUUUUCUGUAGGGGGAUUUUUUGCCUGGGAAAAACACACCAGAGUAAGUGCUGCUCAGUGGGAAGUUCAACAGCCUUGUUGGUUUUGAGAACAUGUCAAAGGGCAAGAAUAGCCAAAUUCGGGCCGUAACACAAGUAUUAAUGCAAAAACCCUGGGAAGUUCAAGGGCGGGUAGAUCUGAGUUUCUGCCCUGGGUCUAUUCCUAAAUAUUUGAUUUAUAUUUAAUAUACAACCCCAACGAAACCAUUGUGGGGAGCGUGACUACUUAAAAUAUACAGCCUGAAUUUCACUUUGUUCUGUGCAAAUAAAUUAAAAAAGCAUUUGCAAUAUGACGUGUGCAGCAAAAAUACGGAGUGGAUAUAGAAUAGUGUUCUGCAGUGCUCAUGUUUUCCCCUUCACUUUUGGUUUGGUCUGUCUCGUCGGGGAUCCAAAUUACACCACUGGAACUGGUCUGGACCAUUUCUCAGAAGUAUUUCUUAAACGGGUGCCAACAGGUUAAAUAAAUUCACUUAUAAUUAUCAAUAAAACGACCUAUAUGGUGGAAAAAAAGGUGCAAUCUGAUAUUGUUUGAAGCUUUUAUGCAGUUCUUUUUUGAAAAUGGUGAAAAGACAAGAUCGUUCCUAUGGGAAACACAGUGGAUGGGAUGAACCGGAACUCUAUGCAAAGGGAAGGAUACAGAAAUUAUUUGGUUCCUUGUUCUAAGAAGAGAUUUUGCUGAUGUUCUGCUUGCUUUUCUUGGCUUGUAUAGAGUGGGUGAGGGAACUAUGGUGAAAUUAAGAGGUGGCAAAUUGAGAGUUCUUGAUCAAGAGGCUGAUGUUAUAAACCAAAGGUCAUACUUAAUCUGGAUAAGUUAGGACAAACUCACCUGAGCGUCUUCUCUCUGCCUUCGAGCAAUGUGUAGAGAGCAGGGUAGGCAAAGCCCAGCUCCAAGACACAAAUAUGGCCCAGAUUAUGGAGACAACAGCCCUCAGGGCAGAUCCUGGUCUUUGUUCAGAUGGUUCAGGAGCUACAAAUGCCAACACACCCUCCAACAGUGGUGGACGUUCCAGUUGGGUUGAGGGGCACCUGAAUCAUCGCAUUCCCGGUGUGGCUUCGGUUUAACCAUGCAACCUUUUGUUUGAGCCUGGCUUUCAAAGUCUAAAAACAGCGUUUCCCAGAUCGUAAAGCUAAAUUUGAUUUUGAUGAGGCUUAAAGAGCAAACGGGGUCCUGGCAGAUCCCACACAGCGGUGUAAUGUCAUUCCUCAACACCCUGCGCUCAACCUGCGGCUUUGGAGCACAGGUCCGAUGCGAAACAGGCUUAAAAGAUGCAUAGACGAGGUUCUUAGGGACACAGCUUAGUGACAGUGCUCGGGUAACGGUUGGACUCGAUGAUCUUGAGGGCCUUUUCCAAUCAAAAUGAUUCUGUGGGUCCAUGGUUCAUUUCAGUCCUGAGUGGUUUAGCCAAAGCCAAGUGGCCACCAAUGUUUAAGGCUUUGGCCAAACAAAAUAGUCAAGUAGUGGAGAGUGUGGCUCUUAACUCUCCCAAAUACAUCGUGUUAUUUCGUUGUGGUGCAGGUCUUUCAGUCCAAACAUCACAUGCUUGAAUACUUUGAGGCCUCCCAGAAUGCAGACACCGUGUCCGGUUUUGCAAGGUCAAAGCUCUUCUUCCACGCACCUUCCAGUUGGGUUUGAGCUGGGUUUGUGGGCCCAGAGCCUGACCCCUUUUGGGAACCAAACCAAAGGAGCAAAGACCUUUCAGAGACUGAUCCCAAAACCACGUUCCCGCGUCAAAACUGAUGUGGACCAACGGCCAAGCUCCGAUUUAUGGACACCGAUCAACCGUGGGUGCUCUGGUUGCCCCAAGGUGCUCAUCCUUGCCCACGACCCGCGUCGCUGCCGCACGGGUGGUUAAGCUCCCGCGGAGCAGCUGCUCAACAGCUGCACGUUACACUUCCCAUAUGAAAGAAACCCCAAAUCUGUGUGAAAUUUCCAGUGGUUUCACAGCUGUUGCCUGAGCCAGGCUGUCUGUGUCACGUCUACGGGGACAGCGGAGGGGAACGAGGCAGGACAGACAGCUGGCAGCAGAAGUUUCUCCAACCGCUUAGUUCUAAUCUGCUUUUUCUCACGUCAAAGCCCUUUGAGUGAAAAUUUGAGAACGGCGAAGCCUUUGGAUUUAUUUUCCUCCCUUCCUCCCACGAUUGCGGUGAAUCUGGUGCGAGCCAAACUCUGUCAUUAAGGGAUUUAUUUCUAGGGAGGCUUUUUGGUGGGAUUCGUCGCAACUUAUUUGAAAUAUCUCAGCAAGCCAGAUGCUCGUUCUUGUGAACGGAGACAAGUAGCAUCCAGGAAUGGUCUGUUCGGCUGAACUAAAUAUUGGAUUUAGAGAUAUUGCUUUCUGAAGACAGGGGUCUUAUCUGACUCUAAAGUUACUGUUUUAUGGCUGCAAGCGUGGGGGUGGAUCCCAGUAUGUGCUGGAUUUACUGGGAAGGUGUUUUGGUGAGGUGAGAAACUUCUGAAGGAGAAGUGCCACUAAAAAUAAUGACAUUAAUUGUGUGCUUUGAAAAAACACCACACAGAGCAAUUUGCCAAAGGAUCUGGGAGGUGUUUAAAAUAUGAAUAGGCUGUGGUGUGACCAACCGCCUGACCCUGUUUGCCUGUGGAAAGGGAGGGUUUAGUGCCCAGGAUGUCUCAGGGUAAAGCCUGGGUCACCAGAAGGGCUUCGUUUGCCACAGUCAAUAAUAAAGUGCAGGAUAAAAUCUGUGGUAUUCCCGGGAUUUAUUCUAAAAACACCUGGCACAAACAUUAGCUUUUAUUCCUUGAUGUUUUGCACUCUCUCUGCGUUUAUAAAAAGAAAACGACCCUUUAAUUCUUAAUCAAAACAAGUUCUUCAAUCUGUUUUUUUCAUGCAACUGAAAUUAUGCCAGGAAUCCCUAAUUUGCUCUUAAAUAUGAAUUCAGGGUAACCAAAAAGCGAUGUAAUUUUUAGCUCUUCAGGAAGAGCUGCUGUCAGCAGAUGUGAUGCUGCAGAGUUAAAGCCCACGAGGAGGUCGCGUCUUCCCCACGCUGCUCGGCUGUAUUUUGGCUGCUGUUUCCCUGUUUCAUUGCUUGCCAGAUGAGUCUCCUGUAGCGUAAUAUCAGUCUCUACAGGUAAAAACUACUUAAAGGAAUCACGUCUUGCUCCUGCGAGGAGACAGCGGACAGGUCAUUUCUUUCUCACUCUUAGAAUCACAGAACAGUUUGUGUUGAAGGGACCUUCCCAGCUCCCCCAGUGCCCCCCCUGCCAUGAGCAGGGACAUCUUCACCAGCUCAGGUUGCUCAGAGCCCCGUCCAGCCUGGCCUGGGAUGUCUCCAGGGAUGGUUCAUCCACCACCUCUCUGGCCAACCUGGGACAGGCUCUCACCACCCUCAGGGACAACAAUCUCUUGGUUGCUCUGGUUGAAAUUGUAACUUGAGACGUAGUUUGAGUACAAGAUCAAAGUGGCUUGGGGUAGCGUCUCAAAGAACUUUGGCCUUGCAGGGUGCCGUUCCCAUACCCCAACCCGUCCUACGCAUCUAAUGGCUCCACAGGAAUGGGACAUCAGGAAGAGAGAGAGAUGGACAGACAGAGAGAACUUCUUCAGGAGCUGAAAACACGAUUGUGAGACGCGGGAUUUGUGCCAAGGGGCUCUCGGUUUCGUGCGACACGGUCACACCAAGACCUCAGCUUGUCUUGGGAAGGGUCAUCGAGGCAACGGCAUCUGGAGCAGCUUCGUGAAGGUCCUGAACUGACUCCAUCCCUCUUCUGGGGCUUGGGGAUGAGAGAAGAGAUGGAUAAUGUUGCCAAAACAUCCUUUGGUUGGCCCAGGAAUAUGAUUUAUCUGCUCCAAAGCCAUGCAACGAUCUUGCCUUAAAAUGUCCUGCUGACUCACAGAGGAUUCCGAGGAAGUUACAGGGUAAAAAUGAAGGGUUAUAAGAUAAAGGAGGAAUUUAUAAAUCUUCCCAAGGUGGAAGGGCUGUGUGUCACAGCAGUGGUAGGACACAGUGACCCAUUUCUGACUCAUUCCUCACUGCUGAAGGCAACUUCUGGAGAAAUAAGACCCCCAGAGUAGACUUCAGACCUUCAAAAUGCUGACUUAUGGUGGUUUAUUUCCUUAUUUAAUUCCAAACUUGCAACAUCAGAGAAGAAAAGUAUGUGAUGUGGACACACCUCUUGUCUGAAAUUGGGUCAUCACAGUUACAGGUCAUAAUCCAGGAGAGGAUUAAGCUGGAUUUGUGUUGUCUUUUGGGAGAGCACAGGCUUGCCAAGGACCUCAAUAUGCCUUGGAGAAUGAUAUUGUGUGUACUUGACGUGGAGGGUGAUACCUGAGUAACAUUUCUUCAGCACUAAGAAAUAUCCUAUGAACGGGAAGGUGCCAAUCAACGUUAUGUAUUUCUGGGCUUCUUUCAGCAAAGAGAAGUCAUGGAUGGUACCUUGGAGAAAUCACCAUCUGCCAUCUCAGCUCCUCUUGCAAAGGAUGCGUUUUGGUCUAGACCUUUCAGGCCAUUGGUGUUGAGACCCAUAGACAACGUGUGGUAGUUUGUGGAGAAAAAAUAAUGGGACUUUCACAGGGUCCUACCUGAAAACUGCUCUUCACCUUCAAGCGGGCCGAAAUGAAUCAGGAGAGAGUGACAAUGGAGAGCAGAGAAUGGCUGAGAAGAUUAGGGAAGGAUUUCCUGUGGUGGGCCUGAUCCACCAUUCUGGUGGAACUGUAGAACCAUAGAAUCAUUUUGGUUGGAAAAGACCUUUAAGGUCAUCAAGUCCAACCAUAACCCAACCAUGACACUGCCCCAUGUCUAUAAGAACAUCAUCUCUGUGUAUUUUCAACCCCUCCAGGGAUGGUGACUUCACCACUGCCCUGGGCAGCCUGUUCCAAUGCCCGAUAACCCCUUCCAUGAAGAAAUUGUUCCCAAGAUCCAAUCUAAUCCUGGGAAAUUGCUAAAAAAUGCACCGUGGGUGGGAUUCAGGCCCAGACUGUCAGUGUCCAAAUGUAGAUACGCGCUGGUGUCUCCACGUGUGGUCAACGUGCAAGUUCCCAUCAACUUCCAGAGAUCGGUGUGGUCAAGCAUCUGGAAGAUGACCCAUGGCAUCUUGAGGCUCUCCAGCCUUCAUCACUUGCAUCGGUCGGAUCUCAGGUGACUCUUACACUGACACCUUUUGUUCUGCUUAUCGUUUUCCACCAAAAAUACACAAGACACUUGCUCUGCUUGUCCCGGGAACGCUUAUGGAGACUUCUCACCAAAGCUCCAUGAUGUUAAUAUACAAUAGUAGCUGUCCUGAUGAGUUUUACUACCAGGAGGGGUGUGAUUUUGUUAGGUCAAGGUAUUUUGGAGAACAUAUGUUCAUACUGACAUAUUCAUCUGAUCUUAAUUAAUAAGGACAGGGGAAAUAUGUCACCAGAUUCAGAGCUGUGUGUUACCUCACCCCUUGCAGUCCUGCACUGGAUGAAUGAUUUAUAACUUGAAACCUAAAGAAUUUGGAAACACAGUUGCGUUUUCUUCCCAUGGGAUUAAGGCUGACUCCAUUUGUUCUAGUUUUGCUAAAGCCUGAAACAAAGAUGGUUUUAGUUCAUUCCUGUCAAAUAUGAAUGAUGCUCUGACUUUGCAAAAAUGCAACAUACUUCUCAAAUGAGUGUCAUCCUGUUUCACCUUCUUCCCGGGAAAUUCGUGCGAGCAAAGAGAUCAAACCCUCGUUCUUCUCCGGAACAGAAAUUAUUCGUAUUUGCAUUAAUUUAAAGAGAGGUCAGUGUGCAUCCACACUUACUGUGGACUGAUUUAUGUUUAAAAAUCAGGUGGGAAGAAGAAGGUACUUCUUACACGUUGCUUUGGUAUGUUGGGGUCAUCUGUUUUCUGGAAGUGCUUCUCCCUUUCUACUGGCUGUAGAUGAGAUGCUUCCUACCAUAGAGUCACAGAAUCAUUUGGGUUGGAAAAGAACUCAAAGAUCAUCGAGUCCAACUGUUCCCCCACCCCUGGCACUAUCCCAUGUCCCUGAGAACCUCAUCUCUGUGUAUUUCCAACCCCUCCAGGGCUGGUGACUCCAGCACUGCCCUGGGCAGCCUGUUCCAAUGCCCAACAGCCCUUUGGGGAAGAAAUUGUUCCCCAAAUCCAACCUCAACCUCCCCUGGUGCAACUUGAGGCUGUUUCUUCUUGUCCCUGUCUGGUUGGACACAAGAGGGAAUCUUUUCACUGUGAGAACAAUCAGCCCUUGGAACAAUCUCCCUAGGGAAGCAGUAGAUUCCCAACAUUGGAUGCUUUUAAGAUUCGGCUGGGCCAGCUUGCCUAGGCUGUAGUUUUGCCAGAUGAUCCUUGUGGUCCCUUCCAACCUGGGAUUCUCUGUUUCUGUGGAGAACUUUCCAUCGGUGUCCUCUCCAGACCACAGCAUUGACACCAGAAGCUCCACACAUGGAGCUGAUGUGAUAUCUUGGUUUGGACCUCCUGGUCCUUUGUUGUCCAAGAGGAUGUGGUGAGGAGGGAGAAGGCAGCAAUGGAACCCACCAGCAAGUGGGCUGUCAGGAGACAAUCUCUUCAUCCUCCCUUCUUGGUGCUUGGACUGGUGCUUUCUCAUUAGUGUAUUUUAAUGUAGUUGUGCCUUCUGUGCACAGAAAGUGUUUUGGAUAGAAAAAGGACUUCUGGCUCCUUUUGGCCUUCAGAAAGUCCCUCUUUGGGGAUUUUGUGGGCUGGGGUGGGGAGGCUGGAUGGUUUGUUGGUUUGAAAUUCCCAGUGUGAGAUGAAACUUUAUUACAUAAGAAAAUUUUCCCUCACCAUCUUCAUCCGUGGGCACGUGGCUGGUGGACCAAAGGGAGGAAGGACGGAUGGACAUGGAGAACCAGGGGUGUGUGGGAGCAAUCCAGUCUCGUCACUGAUGUAUGGGCAUUGACUUCUUGAGACACCAGGAAGACUUCAGAGCCCCAAGUUGGGUUGAUUAGUCCAAAUUCCCUUGGGAUGAAUGACCCUGAGAAGUUCCUCCUUUCGUCUGUUAGCAAGACUGCUUGGACAGGGGGUUCAUCGCAGGGCGGAGUUGCCAACAACAGCAAAAUGAGAAGGAUUUUUCUUCGUUAGCAAAAUUACUGGCUGGGUGUUGAUAUGGUGAUGCUCUGGAAAGCAGGGGGAUGUCUUGGGCCAUGGUGGGAGAUGGAAAACAGCCAGGAAUGAGAAGGCCAUCAGGACAGCCUGUCUCAAAAAACACAGCUCAAUAUACUUUGGAGUUUUGGUUUUGUUUUGUGUUUUUUUAACAGUUUAACUUACUGUGGGUGAAACCACUCGUGGUUUCCUGUUUUCAUGAUUUGGCUCUUUUUUAAAAUGGUUUGGCAAGGAUGUUAUUUAGUAGCAGAAUCGAGUCUCUGGGCCCACUUGAACAGGUUUGACACCAUCACGCAGGAACCACGAGCACCUGGGGGUUCUGUCGAAGGGGUUUGCAUCCCAUUUGAAAAUAAGCUCUGUAUGGCAAAGGUGAUGGCAAAGAAAACCAGCGUGAGGCUCAUCUUGUCACAAAGUCGAGUCCAAUCUGUCUGCGUGUCUACUUUUGUUGUUAAUACCCGGUCUCCUUAAGCUGGAGACGUCGCUGAUUUAUGAUGCUGCGUAAAGCUCUGCGAACCGGAGUAGACAAAACAGGAAACGAAAGAGCUUUGCAAAUCUACAAAGUAUUAAGAAAUCACUAAGUGCUGGGGAGUCUUACAGGAUGGUGCUGCUUUCCCCAUGGGGAGGGGGAAUUAAAAUUAAAAAUAAGAAUUAAAAACCAUGCACUGGGCUGUAUCUCUGGCUGCUUUUCCCAAAGGGAGAAAUCAAUCUUGUGUUUGCCCCCCACCCCGGUCUUAAAUUAUACUGGGUAUCGAUACAACCAUGCAAAAUACGACGUGUAUUUGCGUCUCCUCUGGGUGGUGUUUCAGGAUGCUGAGAUUUCCUAGAAUCAGCGGUUAUCUGUGCGAGGGAGAGGGUGUUGCUCGUAACCGACCAUCUGUGCACACUUUGAAGGAGAUGAUAGGAAAAGCACAAUAUUGUGUGUCCUUGGCUCCCGAGUCGGUUUAGCAGCAGCGGUAUCUGCGUCCAGGAUUCAAGAGAAAUGCGAUUAUGGGAUAACAUAAGCAAAAAGUGGCGCUGAUCUUGGAGAAGAGCCUCAGCUCCGGUGCCGGAGAGCUGAAAAUACGGGUGGUUAAUGAAGUUUUACAUAUAAAAUAGUAUCUGUGCCUGCCCCGUGGGGUUCGGUGGGAUUUUCGGCGCUGUUCCAGGCUGAUGCUGGAUCCUGGAAAGACCAGGGAUAUGUUGGUCUCCUGCUCGCUUCUCCCCAUUGUCUGUCAAACCCUUCCUGAAACACCUUCUCGCGUUGCGGUGACAUCGCGAUGUGACCUUCUUCGCUAAACAUUUAGAGAGAAACUCGGCUUUUAGGUUCCUUUUAUUCACAAGGCAAAACUUCUCCCAUUUAUAGGCUCUGUAACGGAACCCUGGAGGUCAGUACCAUUAAGGGGGAUUUUGCCGUGUUUCCUGGGAAGUUUCUUCAUUUACAGCACAAGAUUUCUUUUAGGAAAGAGAGAUAUGUUCACGUUGUAUAAAACUUUGGGAAAUAUUCAUUUAAGUGCUGAUAGGGCCGCGUUAUACCAGUUCACAUUCUGCAGAUGACUGAUUAAUGGUGGUGGCGAGUUGGUGAAGGGUUUUUCCCCCCUUUUGAGAUGCAAAAUAACUUCCUGAGGUUGAGUAUCUGCCACACAUCCCGCAAGAAAUAAUUUUGCUUAAAGGUACCUCCAAAACAAGAGAAUUGAAUGCAAUAAUCAUGGUUAAGUGAGGAGACAAUCUCCCCAGGCUGUGGAUGAGAUGAUGGGAAAACAAGGUGGUUCCUUCCCAAUUCCUGGUCUGUAAAGGUUUUUAUGAACAACCAAGGCAGUUUCUUGUAGCAAGAUGCAGCUGAAGGCACUUGAGAAUACUUUUAUUUAUCUUUUCUACUGCUCAGCAACAGUAAACACUGUCUCUUUUUCACUACAAAUGGCUCGCCCGUGUUUAUAUCCGUCAUAACAUAUCCAUUUCUGGCCCAAACGUUUCUUGGAAAUAUCAUCUGCUUGAGCUGCCACAACAGGAUGGAAAGGACUUGGGGGAUAUAUCUGAAAGUUGAGCUGUGCUGCCUUCAAAACAUCAAACCGAGAUAGAAACAGCUCAUCUUUUGGGGGAUCACUAAAUAGAUUUUAUAUGUUUUCAGUGCUAUCCCAUUCUGUGUGUCUUUCUUUGCUUGUUCUUCCCCUCUUUGUAUGUACAUCAUGAGCUGGAUGUCAAUGUCCGCCUGGCUGAGAUGCUUAAUAAUUAACUGGUGGCACUUUUUGGAUGCGCAUCUCGAAGGAGAAGCUUUAUAGGUGUAUUUUCAGCUCUUUCUAAGCAGCUGAAAUGUCAAAGGCUCUUUGGCACUGACAGUAAGUGGCAAUAGGAACACCCCAGAGGUAGGAAGGAGAAAGGAAAUGUGGGUUUUGUUUCACCGAAAGGCAAAUUCGGGGAAAUGGAAGAACUGCGAUGAAAGAUUUGUCUGCAAAUUAAAACUCCAAAUAACUCCCCAGAACAAGCUCCCUUAAGAUCUCCCUCUCCCUCCAAAAUAUGGCAGGGGGCAUAUUCUUGGCUCUGCCCAUCAGUUUUCACAGAAUCCCAGGAUGUCAGGGGUUGGAAGGGCCCUGGCAAGCUCAUCCAGUGCAAUCCCCCCAUGGAGCAGGAACACCCAGAUGAGGUUACACAGGAAGGUGUCCAGGCGGGUUGGAAUGUCUGCACAGAAGGAGACUCCACAACCCCCUGGGCAGCCUGGGCCAGGCUCUGCCACCCUCACCAGGAACAAGUUUCUUCUCAAAUUUAAGUGGAACCUCCUGUGUUCCAGUUUGAACCCAUUACCCCUUGUCCUGUCACUGGUUGUCACCCAGAAGAGCCUGGCUCCAUCCUCCUGACACUCCCCCUUUAGAUAUCUGUAAACAUGAAUGAGUCCCCCCUCAGUGUCCUCUUGUCCAGCUCCAGAGCCCCAGCUCCCUCAGCCUUUCCUCACACGGGAGAUGCUCCACUCCCUCCAGCAUCUUGGUGGCUGCGCUGGACUCUCUCCAGCAGUUCCCUGUCCUGCUGGAACUGAGGGGCCACAGCUGGACACAAUAUUCCAGGUGUGGUCUCCCCAGGGCAGAGCAGAGGGGCAGGAGAACCUCUCGGACCUACUGACCACCCCCUUCUAACCCACCCCAGGUACCAUUGGCUUCCUGGCCACAAGGGCCCAGUGCUGGCUCAUGGUCACCCUGAGUUUUCCUGUAAUGUGCGUUAUUUUGACUUCUCGUAGGUACAAGGUACAGCACGCAGAUCACAGGGAUGACUGUCUGCAAACAGCUGAUAUUGGGACUAAAGCUGCUAAAAAUUGGAAGCAUGUCUGGUCUGCAGAUUCAGUAAUACAGCAGAUAUGACCUGCUGGAAAACACAGAGGACCCCAAGUUUGUGGUCACUUUUACUUAAUAAAAUAAAUCCCAAACUGAUAAGGGCAAAAAGCAAUAAAACCCUUCCUUGUGUGAAGCUGGUGAUGCUUCACUUGGUACGUGAUGCUCAAAGGUGAACUGGUGAGGUGACCAAUACAAGCACUGUGCUAAAACUGCUUCAGGAAUAUCCUGAAAAUGAAAUGCUCUGGAAAGAUUAAAUUCUUCUGAUAUUAAGUGUGUGUUUAGGGGGGGAAGUCAAUGAAAAACACAAACAGUAACGCAGAUAAAAGUGACUCCUUGGAGAGGAUGCAUCUGGUUCAUGGUGGACAACUCUAGUGGUCAUGGGGAGCAUCCCUCGCUAAGAAAAAGAAUAAACAUAAGAUAAAUUA